AGUGAGCGCUGGCGGUAGGCCUAACACAUGCAAGUCGAACGGCAGCACAGUAAGAGCUUGCUCUUACGGGUGGCGAGUGGCGGACGGGUGAGGAAUACAUCGGAAUCUACUUUUUCGUGGGGGAUAACGUAGGGAAACUUACGCUAAUACCGCAUACGACCUACGGGUGAAAGCAGGGGAUCUUCGGACCUUGCGCGAUUGAAUGAGCCGAUGUCGGAUUAGCUAGUUGGCGGGGUAAAGGCCCACCAAGGCGAGGAUCCGUAGCCGGUCUGAGAGGAUGAUCAGCCACACUGGAACGGAGACACGGUCCAGACUCCUACGGGAGGCAGCAGUGGGGAAUAUUGGACAAUGGGCGCAAGCAUGAUCCAGCCAUACCGCGUGGGUGAAGAAGGCCUUCGGGUUGUAAAGACCUUUUGUUGGGAAAGAAAAGCAGCAGGUUAAUACCCCGCUGUUCUGACGGUACCCAAAGAAUAAGCACCGGCUAACUUCGUG
rnacentral:rRNA from 1 species